rnacentral:rRNA from 1 species
GCCCAGACUCCUACGGGAGGCAGCAGUGGGGAAUAUUGCACAAUGGGGGAAACCCUGAUGCAGCGACGCCGCGGGAGCGAUGAAGUAUUUCGGUAUGUAAAGCUCUAUCAGCAGGGAAGAAGAUGACGGUACCUGACUAAGAAGCCCCGGCUAACUACGUGCCAGCAGCCGCGGUAAUACGUAGGGGGCAAGCGUUAUCCGGAUUUACUGGGUGUAAAGGGAGCGUAGACGGCGAUGCAAGCCAGAUGUGAAAGCCCGGGGCUCAACCCCGGGACUGCAUUUGGAACUGUGUAGCUGGAGUGUCGGAGAGGCAGGCGGAAUUCCUAGUGUAGCGGUGAAAUGCGUAGAUAUUAGGAGGAACACCAGUGGCGAAGGCGGCCUGCUGGACGAUGACUGACGUUGAGGCUCGAAAGCGUGGGGAGCAAACAGGAUUAGAUACCCCAGUAU